UGUGUGUGUGUGUGUGUGUGUGUGUGUGUGUGUGUAUAUAUAUAUAUAUAUACACACACACUGACACACAUACACU